AUGCAAUUUAACUCUCAUACUGAAGAGUUCAGCCUGUUUUCUUUGCAUAUGGCUGGCAUAGAUGUAGUAGGAAGGGACCACUACUAUGGUGUGUUUCCUCUCAAGGGUAAAGUAUUAAAUGUGAGAGAAGCAAGACAUAAGCGCCUAUAUAUUUCCUCAUGUAUGCUUCUAGGUAUCAAUAAUAACGACGACGAUAACAGUGUUUCAGUUCAAGUGCAUUCUUGCUUUUGA
rnacentral:rRNA from 1 species